AUUGUUUAUGGCUGUCAUCUGAUUAUAUUCGAAGUAUUUCGUGAUUAAUUUAUUAAACAUUUUUAAUUAAACAACAAUUAAUGCGAAACAUACUUCGCACCGUUAUAAGGGCAAAGUUGUAUGUGUGAAGUUAGAAAGGUAAAGGAUAAGAUAUAGGAUAAUUCAGUUUAUUAUUUACGGAAAUUAAUGACAGAUCUUUGCUACCGAAAAACGAUUCUAAA